rfam:Cucumis sativus cultivar 9930 chromosome 7, whole genome shotgun sequence.
CUUUCCUGUUUGGAGACAUUUGAUAAAAUUGAAACGAUACAGAGAAGAUUAUCAUGCCCUGCACAAAAAUAAUAUGGUCCAAAUUUUCACAAAACAAUUGGAU